AUUGAACGCUGGCGGCAGGCCUAACACAUGCAAGUCGAGCGAGCGGCGGACGGGUGAGUACUGUCUGGGAAACUGCCUGAUGGAGGGGGAUAACUACUGGAAACGGUAACUCCUCCCGCAUACCAUCAGAUGUGCCCAGAUGGGGGUAGCUAGUGGGUGGGGUAAUGGCUCACCUAGGCGACGAUCCCUAGCUGGUCUGAGAGGAUGACCAGCCACACGGGAACUGAGACACGGUCCAGACUCCUACGGGAGGCAGCAGUGGGGAAUAUUGCACAAUGGGCGCAAGCCUGAUGCAGCCAUGCCGCGUGUGUGAAGAAGGCCUUCGGGUUGUAAAGCACUUUCAGCGGGGAGGCGUUACCCGCAGAAGAAGCACCGGCUAACUCCGUGCCAGCAGCCGCGGUAAUUC
rnacentral:rRNA from 1 species